UCAACCCAUUUAACCUUCUAACCCAUCAAAUUAAAUGAGUUUAUGGGUUGACUCAACUCAUUUGUGUAAAUGAGUUGAGUCAACCCAUGAACUCAUUUAACUCUAAACUCAUUGGGUAAUGAGU
rnacentral:pre_miRNA from 1 species